AAGGAAUAUUGGUCAAUGGACGAAAGUCUGAACCAGCCAUGCCGCGUGGAGGAUGAAGGUCCUCUGGAUUGUAAACUUCUUUUAUAUGGGACGAAAAAAGGCCUUUCUAGGCCGUCUGACGGUACCAUAUGAAUAAGCACCGGCUAACUCCGUGCCAGCAGCCGCGGUAAUACGGAGGGUGCAAGCGUUAUCCGGAUUCACUGGGUUUAAAGGGUGCGUAGGUGGGUUGAUAAGUCAGUGGUGAAAUCUCCGAGCUUAACUUGGAAACUGCCAUUGAUACUAUUAAUCUUGAAUAUUGUGGAGGUUAGCGGAAUAUGUCAUGUAGCGGUGAAAUGCUUAGAUAUGACAUAGAACACCAAUUGCGAAGGCAGCUGGCUACACAUAUAUUGACACUGAGGCACGAAAGCGUGGGGAUCAAAC
rnacentral:rRNA from 1 species